UACGAAGGGGGCUAGCGUUGCUCGGAAUCACUGGGCGUAAAGGGUGCGUAGGCGGGUCUUUAAGUCAGGGGUGAAAUCCCAGGGCUCAACCCUGGAACUGCCUUUGAUACUGUCGAUCUGGAGUAUGGAAGAGGUGAGUGGAAUUCCGAGUGUAGAGGUGAAAUUCGUAGAUAUUCGGAGGAACACCAGUGGCGAAGGCGGCUCUCUGGGACGGUACUGACGCUGAGACGCGAAAGCGUGGGGAGCGAACAGG
rnacentral:rRNA from 1 species